rnacentral:rRNA from 1 species
UUCCUGCUAUCUUUUCCAGGUAAACUCUGCUCAAUGAAAUUUAUUUUUUAAUAGCCGCAGUAUCCUGACUGUGCAAAGGUAGCAUAAUAAUUAGCCUUUUAAUCGAAGGCCGGAAUGAAAGAGCCCCCGACUUUAGAGCUUUAUUCCUUAAACCAUAGAAAUUUAUAUUUUCGUUAAAAAGCGAAAAUCCCUAAAGGGACGAUAAGACCCUGUAAAACUUCACUAACCUCUUCUCAGUUUUGACUUUCAAAAAAGAUUUUAGUUCGGCUGGGGCGGCUUCUUCUACCAAUCAGAAGAUAAAUUAACAAUAAUAAUUGAGUUAAAAGACCUCUUUCCGGAGAAUUAAAAUAAGCUACUUCAGGGAUAACAGCAUAAUUUUUUCAUAUAGACCUUAUAGAAGAAAAAGACUUAUGACCUCGAUGUUGAAUUGAGGAGCUCGGUUUAAGCAGAAAUAAACUGGAGGAGUCUGUUCGACUUUUAAUCCCUC